GGGUUGUGAGGUUAAGCGACUAAGCGUACACGGUGGAUGCCCUGGCAGUCAGAGGCGAUGAAGGACGUGCUAAUCUGCGAUAAGCGUCGGUGAGGUGAUAUGAACCGUUAUAACCGGCGAUUUCCGAAUGGGGAAACCCAGUGUGUUUCGACACACUAUCAUUAACUGAAUCCAUAGGUUAAUGAGGCGAACCGGGGGAACUGAAACAUCUAAGUACCCCGAGGAAAAGAAAUCAACCGAGAUUCCCCCAGUAGCGGCGAGCGAACGGGGAGGAGCCCAGAGCCUGAAUCAGUGUGUGUGUUAGUGGAAGCGUCUGGAAAGGCGUGCGAUACAGGGUGACAGCCCCGUACACAAAAAUGCACAUACUGUGAGCUCGAUGAGUAGGGCGGGACACGUGGUAUCCUGUCUGAAUAUGGGGGGACCAUCCUCCAAGGCUAAAUACUCCUGACUGACCGAUAGUGAACCAGUACCGUGAGGGAAAGGCGAAAAGAACCCCGGCGAGGGGAGUGAAAAAGAACCUGAAACCGUGUACGUACAAGCAGUGGGAGCCUCUUAAUGGGGUGACUGCGUACCUUUUGUAUAAUGGGUCAGCGACUUAUAUUCUGUAGCAAGGUUAACCGAAUAGGGGAGCCGAAGGGAAACCGAGUCUUAACUGGGCGUUAAGUUGCAGGGUAUAGACCCGAAACCCGGUGAUCUAGCCAUGGGCAGGUUGAAGGUUGGGUAACACUAACUGGAGGACCGAACCGACUAAUGUUGAAAAAUUAGCGGAUGACUUGUGGCUGGGGGUGAAAGGCCAAUCAAACCGGGAGAUAGCUGGUUCUCCCCGAAAGCUAUUUAGGUAGCGCCUCGUGAAUUCAUCUCCGGGGGUAGAGCACUGUUUCGGCAAGGGGGUCAUCCCGACUUACCAACCCGAUGCAAACUGCGAAUACCGGAGAAUGUUAUCACGGGAGACACACGGCGGGUGCUAACGUCCGUCGUGAAGAGGGAAACAACCCAGACCGCCAGCUAAGGUCCCAAAGUCAUGGUUAAGUGGGAAACGAUGUGGGAAGGCCCAGACAGCCAGGAUGUUGGCUUAGAAGCAGCCAUCAUUUAAAGAAAGCGUAAUAGCUCACUGGUCGAGUCGGCCUGCGCGGAAGAUGUAACGGGGCUAAACCAUGCACCGAAGCUGCGGCAGCGACACUAUGUGUUGUUGGGUAGGGGAGCGUUCUGUAAGCCUGUGAAGGUGUA
rnacentral:rRNA from 1 species